GUCUGAGCCCAGCAGAGAGAGGCUGGACAUGAAAGGAUGGCACUCGGGCUUCUGCUCCUCCUCCUGGCUUCUUUCACCAUGACUUCUUUCACAUGGUACUCUCUCAAGGAACCCCUCACACUUGCAUCAUCUCAUAGGUCUCAGGCUCAGUCUGUGAUCUGAGGUCUACAGCUUCCCUUGCAUCCUUUCCCCCAGCUUCUCCUCUUGGUUUUCUGCUGCUAUGGUUCUAUACUACAAUUUUCCCAAAACUGUGUCUGGUGCCAGCCCCUCCAUCCAGUGUCUUUGGCUUACUAGCUGAUCCUUUCCUGUGUGUCCUGUCCAACUGGGGUCCCCAAAGCAGCUUUGAAGUCUAAACGACUAUGAUGGUAUCGAAGGCAACGAAACCUGUUGAUGUCAUCCUGUAUCUGCUUCUAGCUUCUUCUAUUUUGGAGUCCAGGGGAACACAGGCCAGUAACACAUGCUCUAUGGAAUGCUUUAUAAAGGACUUGGUAUAAAAGGACAACUGGAACAACACCUGUCCAGUAGCCGUGGCCACCUGCUUUCCCCUUCAAAGGUCUCCAUCCAUUAUCGUGUCACUCUAAAUCUAACCACCCUCCAUUUUCACCUAAAGAAAGAGAACCCAGUAAUUACUUACACCAUUUUGGGAACUAUCUAUGACUAGUAUGGAUCUUCUAGAUGAGCUAACUCUGGUUUUAUAUGGUUCAUACUUAAAAAGAAAAGCUAAAAAUUACGAAGCUGGGUAUGCUCUAAGAAAUUUGAAUUUGCCCUUGAAAUAUAAGCUUCAUCCACAAAUUAAAUAUUUCCAGAUGGCUAAAUUAAUUGCCUUCACCAAGACCUAUUAGCUGACAAAGAUAAAGAAGUAAAUAUUUAUAGUGAUAGUAGGUAUGAUUUUAGGUUAGUUCAUGACUUUGAAAUGCUUUAUGAACAAACAGAUGUCCUGACCAGUACAGGGUGGUGAAUUAAAGACAUCGAGGUUCUUUGCUCUUACCUGAAGUUAUAAGAAGCCAUAAAAGGAGUUUUGUAAAAAUGCUGCAUGAUAUCAUCCACAAGAGCAUGAGGGUAUUACCAAGGAUGUUUCUGAUCUUGUCCCACCCGCUGAUGACAGCCCCAACAAGACCAUGGAGGUGGGACAUGGACGCAGUUGAGGUUUUUCCCUCUGGACACUAUGGCAGUAAUGCCAGGGGGAAAAUACUGUUUUAUUUUGCAUUCCUGACUUGAGGAAUCCUAACUUAUCUUUGCAGUAAUGGGGACACAUAUUUCACUGGUACUAUUAUCAAGAACUUUAUAAGCUUUAUCUUUUAUUCAGAAACUCCAUUUUAUCAUCCACAAAUCUCAGGGAAAAUAAAUAAAUAAUGAUCAUAGCUGUCAAAAACCCUCAAACUUCCAAGGCCUUAUUCCCAUUAGCCUUGAUGGCAAUAAGCUCAAUCACUUUCAGGGUGCAGAAAUUAUCUCCUUCUGCGUUAUUAACAGGCUGCCUCAUAAGUUUAUGAAUUACUUCCAAUUCUAAAUUCUACUCUGUUAUAAGCUGAUAUGAGUAAUUAUUGCAGGGGACUCAUACAAUACCUCUGAUUUUAUCACCAAUAG
rnacentral:lncRNA from 1 species